AGAGACAUGGUUCAGUGGUAGAACAUAGGAUUUUCAAUCCUAAGGUCCUGAGUUCAGUGCCUCAC
rnacentral:tRNA from 1 species